UAGGGAAUCUUCCACAAUGGACGCAAGUCUGAUGGAGCAACGCCGCGUGAGUGAAGAAGGGUUUCGGCUCGUAAAGCUCUGUUAUUAAAGAAGAACGUGGGUAAGAGUAACUGUUUACCCAGUGACGGUAUUUAACCAGAAAGCCACGGCUAACUACGUGCCAA
rnacentral:rRNA from 1 species